rnacentral:rRNA from 1 species
GAUGAACGCUAGCGGCAGGCCUAAUACAUGCAAGUCGAACGGAUCUGGAGACUUCGGUUUCCAGAUUAGUGGCGCACGGGUGCGUAACGCGUAUGCAACCUACCUUUUAUUGGGGGAUAGCCCGUCGAAAGACGGAUUAAUACCGCAUAAGAUCACUUGAUGGCAUCUGAAGGUGAUUAAAGCUACGGCGAUAGAAGAUGGGCAUGCGUGACAUUAGCUAGUUGGUUGAGGUAACGGCUCACCAAGGCGACGAUGUCUAGGGGUUCUGAGAGGAUGAUCCCCCACACUGGUACUGAGAUACGGACCAGACUCCUACGGGAGGCAGCAGUAGGGAAUAUUGGGCAAUGGACGCAAGUCUGACCCAGCCAUGCCGCGUGCAGGAUGAAGGCCUUCUGGGUUGUAACUGCUUUUAUCUAGGAGAAAAACUCUUAGCGAGAGGAACUGACGGUACUAGAUGAAUAAGACACCGGCUAACUCCGUGCC